AAAUCAACAUUAUAACGGCGUAAAGAGUGGUCACAUGCUAUCCAAGUAACUAAGAUUAAAAAGCAACUGAGUCGUCACAAGCUAAAGAUGCGUACAAGGCCUCUAUUCAAAGAAAAUCUUAGACUAACGAUCGAUUGAAUCCACGAAAGCCAGGGCCCAAACUGGGAUUAGAUACCCCACUAUGCCUGGCCCUAAAUCUUGAUGCUCGAUCUAACCGGAGCAUCCGCCCGAGAACUACGAGCACAAACGCUUAAAACUCUAAGGACUUGGCGGUGCUCCAAACCCACCUAGAGGAGCCUGUUCUGUAAUCGAUGAUCCACGAUAUACCUGACCAUUCCUUGCCCAGGACAGCCUAUAUACCGCCGUCUCCAGCCCACCCUCCAUGAAGGCCCAACAGU
rnacentral:rRNA from 1 species